GGUGUCAAAAAGCAUCAUCAUAUCCCUUGCAAGUCUUAGUAGAAUAAACAGAGACAGUGAGACACAGACAAUACCACACAAAUGCAUACAAGUACACAUGAAUGGAACAAUUCCAUUUUUAUUUGGAUUUCUUUUAGCCAAAGGGGAUCAGAUAGUCGAUCACUGGCUCACCAUACUGCCUCAAAAAAUACAAUUGAGACAGGGUGUCAAUUGCUU
rnacentral:misc_RNA from 1 species